rnacentral:rRNA from 1 species
UACGUGGGGUGCAAGCGUUAACCGGAAUUACUGGGCGUAAAGCGUGCGCAGGCGGUGAUGUAAGACAGAUGUGAAAUCCCCGGGCUCAACCUGGGAACUGCAUUUGUGACUGCAUCGCUGGAGUACGGCAGAGGGGGAUGGAAUUCCGCGUGUAGCAGUGAAAUGCGUAGAUAUGCGGAGGAACACCGAUGGCGAAGGCAAUCCCCCGGGCCUGUACUGACGCUCAUGCACGAAAGCGUGGGGAGCAAACAGG